rnacentral:misc_RNA from 1 species
GGACACGGUGCCUGUAGUUCUUUUCAACCAACAAAGCGAAACCCUAGUUGUCGUUGCCUUCAACCACCAUCACAACUUCAAGCUCUUGCUGGACAUUCCUUCCUCCCUACCACGUCUAUUGGCAAUUGACAGAUCCAGCUUUUUAUCUUCAGUUGUGCAGUGCUGUUGAACAGUGAAGUAUUUCCAGCGGCAGAUCCAGCAUUGUGGAGGGCUAUUGAACAGUGAAGUAUAUGCGAUCAUCUUUGCUGUUUUUGCUUAGAUUUAUAAGAUAGACAACCAACAUCGCUUUCGGUGAGAAUGUUCUUUCCUGCAGAGACGAUCCUGUCUUUUUCAGUUAACCUAAUACUACAGAAAUUAGCUUCUCCAGAUUUGCUGAAACUGGCUCGCAGAGAACACGUCCAUAAGGAGCUGAAGAAGUGGGAUAAAAUACUGCGUCAGAUUCAUGCAGUG